rnacentral:lncRNA from 1 species
UAUUCGCGGUGCCACCUUUAUAAGUGCGGAGUGCUUGCACGACAACACUCUAGUGAGGAAAGUGCAAGGAGAGCAGAGAUACUUAAAUUACCAUGAGAAACAUUUCGGUACUACUUGUUUUAGGCUUUGCCUCCUGCAUUCUCUCUCAGAGAGUGUCUUACUCCUGCCAGUCUAGCGGUUAUUCUUGCGUUCCCUGGUAUCGCUGCGCCCCAGGCUAUUGGAUAUUUGCAAGUGGAUGCGGAAUCGGAUCCGUUUGCUGCAACCUCCGAUCCAUGAACACCUGCUACGCAGCUGGCGGAACCUGUAGACGGAAAUGCCAGCACUCAGUCAGCGCGAGGGGCACAUGCCUCUUUGGUCUUCAGUGCUGCACCGAAGUGCUCUUCUAGCCAGCUUCCACCAGCAAUGUCCACCAUGAAUUUUUACAGAAGAUUGCUGUCAUGACGAGAAA